GGGGGUAGAUAUAAAGAUAAAAUAGAUCAUUCAAAGGGGAAAAGGGCUAAUCCAUACAGUGAGAUUUCCGAGAAGGCAGCAGGGGUGGGGCAGGGAGGCCCAGAGCGCAGGUGGAGAGUGAGCCUGGUGUGGAGUUAGCCACUUCUCCCCAGAGGAAGGCAAGGAUGUGGAGGGUGAAAGCGGGCUCGCAGACACGGUGUUGGAACCUAAUCCUCAACGUGGUGGUAGGUUUACCACCUGAAGCAGAGAACAGCCCUCACCAGAUACUGAACCAGCUGGUGCCUUAACAUUGGACUUCCAGCCUCCAGAACUGUGAGAUGAGGACCAGAUCAUCAUGACAUGGCCUCCUAAAACAUCCUUUCGAGGGCAAAGGAGACAGAAGAAAGUGACCUCCUAGCAACUGCCUGUGCAAAGAAGAGACUCAACAAAAGAAAAGACUUCUCUCAUGAAGACCCAAGAGCUUCAGGGUCAGAAUGAGGAUAAGAAUUUGGUACUGCUGACAUUUCUACACCUACUCUUCUGUGCUUUUGCCUUGAAAUCUUGAGAACUUCCCUGCUCAAAGAUAAAACCUCAUACACUACAUGAAAUUUCUUUGUUUUUCGGUAACUCUUUCUCUUUGGUCAGAUUCAAGCUGUUUUGAGAUACCCAAACUACUGUUUGCUGAAGUCAACUCAAUAAUUAAAAACAACAACAAGUGAUAUCAAUUAUUUGACACUAUACAGACAAAACAACCUACUGCAUGAAUUAUAGGCUACUUCUACCACUGCCCAGAUGAAAUGGGAUCAAAGUGGACACUUGCCUACUUCCAAACUUAGGUAAAAAUGGAGACAGACAGGGUGACAAACAGGAAAGCAUUUUGACCAUCCAUAUAUGUGGCUCUGUUUCAACAGUGUUUGCCAUAUACCACAGGCAGCUACAAGUGAUGUUUCUCAUUGUAAAUAUAUUCUUCAGAUUGCAAAAAUAUUUUGCUCUUUGGUUGUUUUUAUUUGAUGGAUUCAGUGCCAUGUGCCACAGGCAAAGCCCUGUGCUAGAAGAUGAAGAGGCACAGAUGAUUAUAAAGCAGAAUCCCAGCUCCCAAAGAACAGAUGAGGGAGGAACCGAAAUAUUUAGAGAAUAUUUGUAUGUGUGAAGAACCUCAUUACCAUACCACUGGUUACAAAGGAAGUCCAUGGGAAUCCAGUGGGGGCAGGAGCUUGGACUGAGAACGGUGGGCCACCCAUAAGCCGAG
rnacentral:lncRNA from 10 species